rnacentral:snoRNA from 1 species
UGCAAAUGAUGUCUUUUCUCACGAUGGUCUUCCAAGCUCAUGAAGCUCUGACGACAUUGCCUUUGGGCACACGCUGAUGCAGCUUG